rnacentral:piRNA from 1 species
GGCUAAUAUACUGGCGAUGCUCUGUU